rnacentral:rRNA from 1 species
UACAGAGGGUGCGAGCGUUGUCCGGAAUCAUUGGGCGUAAAGCGCGCGUAGGCGGCCCGGUAAGUCCGCUGUGAAAGUCAAAGGCUCAACCUUUGAAUGUCAGCGGAUACUGCCGGGCUAGAGUCCGGAAGAGGCGAGUGGAAUUCCUGGUGUAGCGGUGAAAUGCGCAGAUAUCAGGAGGAACACCAAUUGCGAAGGCAGCUCGCUGGGACGUAACUGACGCUGAGACGCGAAAGCGUGGGGAGCAAACAGG